GACGAACGCUGGCGGCGUGCCUAAUACAUGCAAGUAGAACGCUGAAGGAGGAGCUUGCUCUUCUGGAUGAGUUGCGAACGGGUGAGUAACGCGUAGGUAACCUGCCUGGUAGCGGGGGAUAACUAUUGGAAACGAUAGCUAAUACCGCAUAAGAGUAGAUGUUGCAUGACAUUUGCUUAAAAGGUGCAAUUGCAUCACUACCAGAUGGACCUGCGUUGUAUUAGCUAGUUGGUGGGGUAACGGCUCACCAAGGCGACGAUACAUAGCCGACCUGAGAGGGUGAUCGGACACACUGGGACUGAGACACGGCCCAGACUCCUACGGGAGGCAGCAGUAGGGAAUCUUCGGCAAUGGACGGAAGUCUGACCGAGCAACGCCGCGUGAGUGAAGAAGGUUUUCGGAUCGUAAAGCUCUGUUGUAAGAGAAGAACGAGUGUGAGAGUGGAAAGUUCACACUGUGACGGUAUCUUACCAGAAAGGGACGGCUAACUACGUG
rnacentral:rRNA from 1 species